ACAUUUACAGUACGCCCACCUAUGGCUCGGUUUCUUUGAAAGUCACGUCAACCAUAGGAUAGACCACUGCUUUGAUUGUGUUAAAAUGUUUUAUCACUUAUGUGCCAAUCCAUAUGAGAGUUCCAGCAACACCACGACCAACGACAACAAAUAAAACAACAGGACAUAAACUCCCCUAGCAAACUUCUGCCCGUAAACUAACGAAAAGUUUUCGCGAAGUAAGCAAGAGUCUCGCCGUUGCGAAUAUUUAUUCCUGCGAACAGUCCCUGUCGUAUGGUUGUUAUAACAACACGGGUCUCGAUAAGGCUUGGUCGCGAACAUUUGUUUAUAGAACUUCACACGUAGAACCCACGUGUUCCUGUGUUUGCAAAGAAAUAAACGACAGACUUGCUAAUAUUCUCGAAGAGCGACUGAAGGCUUUUUCCGUGAACAUAUCUUAUCUAUCGGCCACCAAACAAAAAUUGUCCUGUGUCAAGAAUCAAAGAUGCUCAGCAAACAACAUUGGUUACUUUGGACUCAUCUUACUUGGGUUAUUAGGAGGAAUAGUUGUUGUUUUUGGCUGUGUUUAGAUGUUUUGCCAUCUUAUUGGACGUUACAUCAACAGUAUGCAAAGGAGACAUUGCUCACGAAGUUUAAUAAACUAAACAACAA
rnacentral:sRNA from 1 species